GUGACCCCAGGUCAGUGGGCC
rnacentral:rRNA from 1 species